rnacentral:rRNA from 1 species
UAGGGAAUCUUCGGCAAUGGACGAAAGUCUGACCGAGCAACGCCGCGUGAGUGAAGAAGGUUUUCGGAUCGGAAAACUCUGUUGUUAGAGAAGAACAAGGACGUUAGUAACUGAACGUCCCCUGACGGUAUCUAACCAGAAAGCCACGGCUAACUACGUGCCAGCAGCCGCGGUAAUACGUAGGUGGCAAGCGUUGUCCGGAUUUAUUGGGCGUAAAGCGAGCGCAGGCGGUUUCUUAAGUCUGAUGUGAAAGCCCCCGGCUCAACCGGGGAGGGUCAUUGGAAACUGGGAGACUUGAGUGCAGAAGAGGAGAGUGGAAUUCCAUGUGUAGCGGUGAAAUGCGUAGAUAUAUGGAGGAACACCAGUGGCGAAGGCGGCUCUCUGGUCUGUAACUGACGCUGAGGCUCGAAAGCGUGGGGAGCAAACAGG